rnacentral:rRNA from 1 species
AGCAAAGUUUUGGUCAAGUAAGGAAGGGCAUGCGGUGGAUGCCUUGGCGUUUGGAGGCGAUGAAGGACGUGUCUAGCUGCGAUAAGCUACGGGGAGCUGCUAAGGAAGCUUUGAGCCGUAGAUUUCCGAAUGGGGAAACCCACCUGCGGUCAUACGCAGGUAUCAUAUACUGAAUUCAUAGGUAUAUGAGGUGAACGGAGGGAACUGAAACAUCUAAGUACCUCCAGGAAAAGAAAUCAAUUGAGAUUCCCCAAGUAGUGGCGAGCGAACGGGGAGGAGCCUAAACCGGCUAGAGACUAGGGAUGAGAGAAACUUUCUCGUUUCUAGUCUCUAGCCGGAGUUGCGGGACUGCGUUAUGGGAUUGUCAAGGGAUAGAAAAAAAGUCUGGAAAGGCUUGCCGUAGAGCGUGAUAGCCGCGUAUUCGAAAUCCUGAAACACCCUAGCAGUAUCCCAAGUACCAUGGGACACGAGAAAUCUUGUGGGAAACUGGGUGGACCAUCAUCCAAGGCUAAAUACUACCAAACGACCGAUAGCGAACUAGUACCGUGAGGGAAAGGUGAAAAGCACCCCUGGUGGGGAGUGAAAUAGUACCUGAAACCGCAUGCCUACAAGCUGUGAGAGGGCUAUGUUCCGAUUCGUCGGAAAAUGCCUGAUCGCGUGCCUUUUGCAUAAUGAGUCAGCGAGUUACUGUCGUCAGCAAGGUUAAGUUGAAAAGACGGAGCCGAAGCGAAAGCGAGUCUGAAUAGGGCGAAUAAGUUGCCGGCAGUAGACCCGAAACCGGUGUGAUCUAUCCAUGGGCAGGUUGAAGCGUGGGUAAUACUACGUGGAGGACCGAACCGGUGAAUAGUGAAAAAUUCUCGGAUGACCUGUGGAUAGGGGUGAAAGGCCAAUCAAACCCGGAGAUAGCUGGUUCUCCCCGAAAUAUAUUGAGGUAUAGCCUCGCACGAAUACUCUCGGAGGUAGAGCACUGAAUGGGCUAGGGGCCUUACCCGGUUACCAAACCCAAUCAAACUCCGAAUUCCGAGAAGUAAUAUGCGGGAGUCAGUCCAUGGGUGCUAAGGUCCUUGGACGAGAGGGAAAGAGCCCAGACCGCCAGCUAAGGUCCCCAAAUGAUAACUAAGUGUGAAAGGAUGUGGAAGCGCACAGACAACCAGGAGGUUGGCUUAGAAGCAGCCAUCCUUUAAAGAAAGCGUAAUAGCUCACUGGUCGAGUGAAUCUGCGCCGAAAAUGUAACGGGGCUUAAGUUAUCUACCGACGCUGCGGAUUUGUACAUUAGUACAAGUGGUAGGGGAGCGUUCUGUAAGCCUGUGAAGGUCGAUCGUAAGAACGGCUGGAGGUAUCAGAAGUGAUUAUGCUGACAUAAGUAGCGAUAAAGCAUGUGAGAAACAUGCUCGCCGAAAACCUAAGGUUUCCUGGGGAAGGUUAAUCCGCCCAGGGUUAGUCGGGUCCUAAGACGAGGCCCAAGGGAGUAGUCGAUGGAUAACAGGUUAAUAUUCCUGUACCACUUAUAGCAUGUUAUGCGUAGGAGGGACGGAGCAAGACAAAUCAGCCACCUGUUGGAUGGUGGUUUAAACGUAUGGCUAGGAAGGCAGCCAGGCAAAUCCGGUUGUCAAUUCCAAGGCGUGAUGACGAGGGGAUUUCCCCGCAAAGUGAUUGAUUCUAGCUUCCUAGAAAAGCUUCGACGUGAUGUUAUAGGUGCCCGUACCCGAAACGGACACACGUAGGUAGGUUGAGAAAACCAAGGCGCUUGAGAGAACUCUUGUUAAGGAACUCUGCAAAUUGACACCGUAACUUCGGGAGAAGGUGUGCCAUUGAUGGUGAAGCUCGUACAGAGUGGAGCUAUUGAUGGUCGCAGAAACCAGGUGGCGACGACUGUUUAACAAAAACACAGGGCUCUGCUAAGUCGAAAGACGAUGUAUAGGGCCUGACGCCUGCCCGGUGCUGGAAGGUUAAGGAAAGAGGUUAGCCCUUGCGGCGAAGCUUUGAACCGAAGCCCCAGUAAACGGCGGCCGUAACUAUAACGGUCCUAAGGUAGCGAAAUUCCUUGUCGGGUAAGUUCCGACNNNNNNNNNNNNNNNNNNNNNNNNNNNNNUGCACCUUUACUACAACUUGGCAGUGAAAUUUGAAUUAAUUUGUGUAGGAUAGGUGGGAGGCUUUGAAGCCGGGGCGCUAGCUUCGGUGGAGCCAACCUUGAAAUACCACCCUGAUUAGUUUGGAUUUCUAACCUACUCCCGUUAUCCGGGAGAGGGACACUGUCUGGUGGGUAGUUUGACUGGGGCGGUUUCCUCCCAAAUUGUACCGGAGGAGCGCGAAGGUUCUCUCAGACUGAUUGGAAACCAGUCGUUGAGUGUAAGGGCAUAAGAGAGCUUAACUGCGAGACAAACAAGUCGAGCAGAUACGAAAGUAGGUCCUAGUGAUCCGGUGGUCCCGUAUGGAAGGGCCAUCGCUCAUCGGAUAAAAGGUACGCCGGGGAUAACAGGCUGAUCGCCGCCAAGAGUUCAUAUCGACGCGGCGGUUUGGCACCUCGAUGUCGGCUCAUCGCAUCCUGGGGCUGGAGCAGGUCCCAAGGGUUUGGCUGUUCGCCAAUUAAAGCGGUACGUGAGCUGGGUUCAGAACGUCGCGAGACAGUUCGGUCCCUAUCCGUCGUGGGCGUAGGAUACUUGAGGAGAGCUGUUCCUAGUACGAGAGGACCGGAAUGGACAUACCUCUGGUGCACCAGUUGUCGAGCCUAUCGGCACAGCUGGGUAGCUAUGUGUGGAACGGAUAACCGCUGAAAGCAUCUAAGCGGGAAGCCAACUUCAAGAUAAGGUAUCCCUUAAGACCACUUGAAGACUACAAGUUUGAUAGGCGGGGUGUGGAAGCGCAGUAAUGUGUGGAGCUAACCCGUACUAAUCGGUCGAUUGAUUUGACCUUAAA